UUUUACUCUAUCUACACAAUAAGCAGUAAGAGUAAAAGCACGGUUUAAUAAUACACAAUAGGAGAGUGCGAGUUUACACGAAUGGGAAACCCUACAAUUUUUGGGUAUUUGCACUGCCGAAAUAAGUAAUAUAACGUAUUCGAAGUAUCUAAGCAAAUUAUAAUUUCACACAAAAGAAAUAAAAAACACACAAGUGAAAUAAUGGCAAUAACACAAAAAUAUAACGAUCAACAUCCAAAGUGGAUCAUGAUUCAAGCUUCUGACACCAUUUUUAAAUUAUUUAUCGGCGUGGUUCGUCUCAAAUUAUGGUCGAAUGUUGGCAGUUGAAGGAUAUUUUCCCAUGUGCUACAUCUGAAUAAGGGCAAUUUACUCUUAAAAGUCCUUCA